rnacentral:lncRNA from 1 species
UCUAGAAUCUCUCUAAUUAAAGACAUUCACCUUAAAUAGAAGUGUAUUUAUAACAAAUUGAAAGAUUUCUAAAUAUAAAAAAAGUAAUUCUUUUGCGUGUUACAUAAGAUGAAAAGGAGGAAUAUUCGGAUUAGUAUUUAUAUGCAUUCUCACCUAACAAUCUACAUAGACAAUUAAAUUGCUAGAAAUCUGGACAUGAAAAAUCCAGUCAAUAAACAUUCCGGAAUACGUUAUAGUCUUCCCUCAAUUUCAUCUUACAAAUAAAAAGGUAAAAAAAGCGAAAAAAUGAAUUGUAUAUCAACCUCCUGAAUUUACAGCAGAGUACAUGACCAUGAUCAUAACUAGACAAGAAUAACGAAUUUUUAUCUUAGAAUUUUAGUUUUUUUUAAAAUCAAUAGGGAAUGAUAGUCUCGAAACAGUGGACACCAUCCAAUUCCAGUGCAAACCUCUGCCUCUUCUGCUUCUGUUGGCACGAAGAUGACGGCAGCGGCGAUGCCUCUCCGGCCUUCUUGAGACCACCGGUUGAGGAAGUAGACGGCGGAGAAACACCACCAGUCUUGUGAUCUGAUACAAGAGGCACGAAGAUGACGGCGGCGAUGCCUCUCCGUCCUUCUUGAGACCACCGGUUGAGGAAGUAGACGGCGGAGAAACACCACCAGUCUUAUGAUCUGAUACAAGAGGUCCACCCCCUUCUUGUUGUUGUUUUGUCUCAGUACUGGGUGCCCAAAAAGAUGUCACCUUUUGCCCAAAAACUUCAGCAGAGAGAGCAUCAAAGGAACUGAAUAUAGACAUCAUCAUCGUUGUUAUUUUAUUGCUUCUAACUUGGAAAACAAAUAGAAUUAACAAAACAAGAAACUGAAAGUAUUGCUUUGUUGGUUUCUUUUACGAAAGAAUUGUUGUGAACUUGGCUACGAAGAAAAGAAGCUGCAGAAGUAGGAGUAUAUAUAGUGGGGUGGAUUAAAGAAAAGGAAAUUCUUUCCUUAGUAAAAUUGGAAAGAUCUGGGAAUGGACAUAGGGAAAGAAAGUUUCCACUAUUCACCAAUUCGUUGAAUUGGUACGCAUUUUUGGACUUAGAUGGCUGGCGGGUAGGCCAAGGAACUUCGAAAACUAACACUCCUCUAUUAACGCGUUGAUAUUUUGGGUCUAUUAUUAUUUUUAUACGACAUAACAUGAUGUAUAUCUUCUGGAUUUAACUGGAAGUUGUUUAAUUCUAUUAUCUUUUAAUGGGUAUAAAAGGAAAUAUACAUAGAAACGUGUCGUGUUUUUUCUGGUUUAAGGAUGAAUGCGUGUCCUUUUACCCUUUUUUGGAGCAUGUUUUUUUUUUUGUUGAGCGGAUGCAUAUUAUAACUAAAACAAACUACCCAUUAGGGUGUACAAAAAGAGUGUUAAUCGAUGGGUAAAUGAUACCCCCUCUAACAUACUAUUGUUAGGACUUUUACAGUCCAUUGUUUUCCUUUCAAAUACAGUUCUUACGAUGUCUUGUCCAAAAAAUAUGAUUGACAAACACCGGAGGAAUUGUUGUUACAAAAACAUCUUACAUUUUUUUUCCUUGCCCCUUCCUUCGCCAGCAUGUCAGCAUGGUUUCCUUGUGUUUCACCACCACGACGUCUAGUCUUUGGACGAUUGAUCUGCAUUCAUGAAUAAGUGAGUCAAAAUAGAGGUUUUCAUUAAUUAGCAUUCUAAUUACCUUUGUUGAAUCGGUGUUUAUUUCCAAAGGUGUGAAUUGUGUUUUUUCUGCAACACGCAGUCCUUUUAGGAGAGCCAUUAGUUCUUGAGUGUUAGUGGUUUAUUGAAUUGAGCCCAUGUAGCCCAGUAUCUAGUUUUCACUUGCAUUUCUGAAGACUCCCCCCAGUCCUCCCUUUCCAGGAUUCCCUGUUGUAGUUCCAUCGAUUAUAAGCUUGUUGGAGUUGUUGUUUGAUGACUCCCAUUUUAUCCAGAUAUUUUUUAUGUUUUGGGGUUCUUUAUCCAGCAUUAUUGUAACAUAUUUAGUGGCUUUAGUAAUUGUACAAUUUGAGUCUGACCUUUUCUGUUAUUGAAGAGGUUGUUAUUCCGUGUUAGUCAUAUUUGUCAAAAAUAGAGAGUGAGGAGCUCUUCCCAAGUAAUAAUGUUGUUAUAAGCUUUUUUCUUUAAAGAUGCCCAAGUGGUUGGCCAAUAUGUGGAAGUGAAAGUAGGAAUAUGAGUAUUGGUUUUCCUAUUGCUUAGGGAGAUGAUGUCUUGCCAGAAGGUGUGAGAAAUGGUACAUUUAAAGAAUCGGUGAUGAUGUUUCAUUGGUCUGGCUGCAUUAAAUGGGGUUUGAUUGUACCCAACAUAAUGGAGAUAGGCUCCAGUGGGGGUCCUUUCAUGGAAAAGUAACCAAAAGAAGGAUAGAAUUUUUUUGGGUACUUUUAAUUUCCAGAUCCAUGCAAAAUUAUGGAUCAUGGUUUCCUGCCCUUGGUCCAAUAUCUAAUAGGCAUAUUUUGUGGAGUAGAGACUAUUUGGUGUGGCUCCCCAUAUCAUUCCAUCAUCUUUAACUGGUUUGGAUGGAAUGAAAGUGUUGUGGAUGGAAUUUUGGAUAUUUUUAGGGGAUGGUGAGAGAAAGAGUAGAGAGAUCCUAAACUCCAUUUUGGCGAGCAUUUGCAACUGUUUUGGACAUGUCUUCUCUUGUCAGAGGACCAUGAAUUAGAGACCUUAUAGCAGGGAGGUUGUUUAUCCAAUGGUCAUUAAAAAAGCUAACUCUGUUUCCUGAAUAAAUUACCUAUCUUUUUGCUUGUAUGCAUGUUUCCCGUCCUUUUAGGAUGCAUUGCAAGAUGUAAGACUUUACUUUUUUGGAAGGUUUCCUUUAAUUGCAGUGUUUUGCAAUAAGAGUUUUUGUCUAUGGAUUAAGCUUAUAUUUGUCUAUCCAUUAUUUAUUUCGUGUGGAUAGGUCUGGAACAACUCCAUAUUGGUGGUGGGACUUUCUUUCAUGACGAAAUCAAAGGAUUGCUGACCUGGUCAAUGAGUUGAAUAGUUGACUAUUAUUCAAAUGGUAUAUGUGGUCUCGUAGUCAACCAAACUUCAAAGGUCAAACAGCAAUUAAUAUUGACUUUAGCAUAGGAGGUUAGAAUUGGAUACUUCGGCUUGGCCUGUUUGUUAGCAAAUACACGUAAUGCUGCAAAUAAGGAGCUUUCCUCAACUCUGAGAAUUGAAAUAUCUAGUAAAUAUCCAGCAUUUUAACAAAGAAGUUAGAAAUUAACCCAAAGUAUAUGUUUGGUAAAAACCUGAAACUACAAGCUGCAGUGCUUUAAAUUAAGGACCAGAAAUUUUCCUCUAAGUUAAUUUUUAUUCAGCAUUCUGGAUUAAAGAUGAAGUAGAUUGUUGACAAAAAAUUAAAGGUUUUCCUAGUAAGAAGUUACUUUUCCUGAUUCUCUUGUUUGAAUCCAUCUCGGUUCUCUAAUUUUGUAAGGUAAUUGACCACAAGGUCCUAUGUGUAUAUUUUUAAUGGUAAAAGUUAUUCUCACUUGAUGUUUAUACCAUACUCCCUUCUAUCCAAAAUAAGUAAUUUUUUGAAUGUUUUCAUACAGAUCAAGAAAUUUAUCUUUUAGCAUUAAUUAGCAAUAGAAUUGACCAUAUUAACCUUUAUUAUCUCACAUAAACACUCCUAACACAUAUUCCAACAUUAUUUACUCCAAAGACAAUGUAGGAAAAGAAUAAUUAAUGUACUCUUGAAAUCUGAAAAAAUCACUUAUUUUAGACCACAAAAAAAGACCAAAAAAUCACUUAUUUUGAACUAGAGGGAGUACCAAAUAAAUACAAAUAUAUGUUAUUCAUAUAAACAAAUGUCUUUCGUAUACAAAUUAAUAAUUAAGUGAUAUCGUUGUCACUUUAAUUCUUAAUUGCUUACGUUAAAUUCCUUAAUUUAGUUUAAACACCAAAAAGUAUUUAGCAUUUUCAAUUACAUCACAUUAUUUGAUUUAUUUGCAUAAACUCUAAUUUAGUAGCUUGCCAAAAGUUCCAAUCAUGUAGCUUCAACGAGGUUUUAUUUGAGAUAUUGUUUUAAAGGUUUCUUUUUAUUUAGCUCAUUUAGGUGAAUCCGGGACUCUCUCUUGUCAUGAUUUAAUUGGAUUACGUUACUAAUCGCUCAUUAUUUUCUCCUUCAAUUCACUCGUUAUUCCUGCUUAUCAAGUUUUUGAAAUUUAUGAUCUAAAUAUUUAUGUAAUUAUAUAUAAAUUUUCCCGUUAAUAAUUAAAAGAAUUAAAAUUAAAUUAUUUUUAAAUAUAAAAUGAUAAUUCUUUUGGAGUGUUGCACAAAGUGAAGAGAAGGGAUCGGAGUAGAAUUUAUAUGCAUUCUCACCUAACAAUCUACAUAGACAAUUAAGUUGAAAGAAAUCUGGCACAUGAAAAAACCAGUAAUAAUAAACUUUCCGGAAUACAAUGUAAUCUUCCCUCAAAUUUCAUCGUACAAAUAAGAAGGAAAAAAGAAGUGGAAAAAUGAAUUGUAUAUCAACCUCCUGAAUUUACAGCAGGGUACGUGACCAUGAUCAUGACUAGACAAGAAUAAUGAAUUACUUUGAAUUUUAGCUUUUUUAAAAAUCAAUAGGGAAUGAUAGUCUCGAAACAGUGGACACCAUCCAAUUCCAGUGCAAACCUCUGCCUCUUCUGCUUCUGUUGGCACGAAGAUGACGGCAGCGGCGAUGCCUCUCCGGCCUUCUUGAGACCACCGGUUGAGGAAGUAGACGGCGGAGAAACACCACCAGUCUUGUGAUCUGAUACAAGAGAUCCAACCCCUUUUUGUUGUUGUUUUGUCUCAGUACUGGGUGCCCAAAAAGAGUUCACUUUUUGUCCAAAAACUUCAGCAGAGAGAGCAUCAAAGGAACUGAAUAUAGACAUCAUCAUCUUUGGUGUUUUUAUUGCUUCUAACUUGGGAAACAAAUGGAGUUAACAAAGACAAGAAUAGGAAAUCCUUUACUAAAUAAAAUAGAAAGAUCUGGAAGUGGACAUACGGAAAGGAAAUUUCGGCUAUUCUCCAAUACGUUGAAUUGGUUCGCAAGUUUGGAACUAACACUCCCCUGUUAACGCGUUGAUAUUAUUAUAUGAUGUAAAUCUUCUGGAUUUAACUGGAAAUUGCCUAAUUCCAGUUAUUCACAUAAUUUAAUGGGUAUCAAAAAAAAUACACAUAGAAACGUGUCAUGUUUUUUCUGGUUUAAGGAUGAAUACGUGUUCUUUUACCCCUUUUUUGGAGCGCGCUAUAUUGUCAACAGAGAAAGAGUUGCGGAUAACAUCGGACCAAAACUAUAUUGGUGGGGCUUUUUUU